CCUUCUGCACCACUGCACCCACCAGGGAAUUUGCAUUUUGUCUCCAGGGUGGACCUUCCCAAGCAAGUCUCAGAUAAAAUCUGACACUAACUUGGCCUUGCCUGAUCAGGACUCUUCAGUUCAGUUUCUCAAAAUGAGGCUCCCUCUUCAGCCCCUGGGGCUGCUACUCUUCUGUAUCACUGGAUCCACUGGAGAUGUUGUGAUGACCCAGACCCCACUCUCUCUGUCCAUCACCCCUGGAGAGCCGGCCUCUAUCUCCUGCAGGUCCAGCCAGAGCCUCCUCUCUAGUAAUGGAAAUACCUAUUUGCAUUGGGUUGUGCACAAGCCAGGCCAGGCUCCACAUGGUGUGAUUUACCUGGUUUCAUACCGGUAUUCUGGUAUCUCAGACAGAUUCAGUGGCAGUGGGUCAGGGACAGAUUUUGUCCUCAAAAUUAGCAAGGUGGAGGCUGAGGACGCUGGAGUUUAUUACUGUGUGCAAAGUACACAUGAACCUCGCACAGUGCUACAGCCCUGAACACAAACCUCCCUGCCUGGGGAGCCCAGCUGCCCUCCUGCACUGCUGUCUGGGGAGCAGCAGAGUGCAGCCUGCUCUCUGUGAGAGGAAGAGGCUGAAGAAUCAGAAAAACAAGUUGUAACUGAGGUCUCUGCCCUGCCUAGAGAAUGAGGAAGACAACACAACAGCCAGGAUCUGUGUUCUGGUGAGGAAGCUGACUCAGAGAGAGAAUGGAGCUGAACUCCAGAGCUUCUUUAGUGCCUUAAAACUUCUGUUGUUUUAUGAAACUGAAAAAAAUACAAACCAAAUGAACCAUGA